AAGUCGUAACAAGGUUUCCGUAGGUGAACCUGCGGAAGGAUCAUUAACACGUAUCCAACGUUAAACAACCCUGUGAACUUUCAACACCGCCGGAACGAGAUUAAUUUCAAAAACUACACAACUGUUAACAAUGGAUAUCUUUGUUCUC
rnacentral:misc_RNA from 1 species